rnacentral:precursor_RNA from 8 species
UCAGCUCAGAGAAGACGGAACCAGUGACUUGAGCUUACGAAUCAUCAGCCAUUGCUCGCUUUGAAAUGCUUUGAUUUGUAAGCUCAGCAGGCGUGGUUUCAAAUGCAACAGAUGACCA